AGGCAAUAUCUUCGAUUACUACAGGUCGAUCUAUUUUAAUAAUAAACCUUCUUAAAAUAGUAGCAAUUAUCACCUUCAUUUCUAGCAUAGCAAAUGUUUGACCUAAAAAAGUGAAAACAAUUGUAAAUCCAUACUGUUGCCUCCAAUACCGAAUGGUAAAAAACUGUGAGGAUGAACAUUAUCGGAUAGAAACCUAUUUGGAUCAAAUUUCAAUGGCUCGUUCCAAUAUUUUUUAUUUCGAUGAAGUUUGAAAAUCCAAAAUACCAAGGAACUUCCUUUUGGUAUGGUUAGAUUUUGUUCCACUUGAUAUAAUUCAUGAAUAAAUAUUAGUAUUAAUUAAUA